CAUUUCCAUCAACUCCAGAUAGGAUGUCAUUAACGUGCAAUCACAUUUCUGCGGGAUGGAUCUGUUGCCUCUCUCCCACAGGUGAACUAUGGAAAGGAGUGUCACUUACAAGGAUCCAGAAGGAACAGUGUUUCUCCUCAAAUACCUCGCUCCACAUCGUUUUCUCUACUGAUAGAGUAGAUGACGUGGAGCAAGCGAGGCUCAUGGAUCCUUGGAGGCCACACUCCUUCCCAUAGUUAACCUGUGGGAGGGAGGCAAUAGGUCCAUCCCGCAGAGAUGUGACAACACGCGUUAUGUUCAUCCUAUCUGGAGUUGAUGGGAAAAGUCUGAUGUUCUCCAGAUUCAAGCGAGAGGGGUCAAUGAAGGCUGGACUAGCUAUUUGACAUCAUCGGGGUAAUACAAAAAGAUUGUAUGUAUGGCUGCAGCACGUGGUGUCAUGACUCGCUUGAUGCAAGGGUCGAGUUGGUGAAGACUCAAGCGGUGUCCAGCAGGGGAGGGAACGUCUGGCUUCAUUCCUCCACGCUGGGUACUUCAGGGUUAGGGAGAUCCUAGUCUCCUCAAGGGCCAGUCCUGUCUUCUCCCUGCAAACUAUUAUUACUUCCAAGCUUUGUAAAGUAUAUAUCACAAACGAACACAGUAUA